GAAAACAUGACUGAAUUAUAGAUAUUGAAAUACAAGCACGAACUUGUCAGAUUUAUGACCGUUUAUUGAAAUUAAAAAGUCGACUAACAUACGCAUUUUAUUUAUGCAAGCCCUUUGAUUUUACCCAUGGCUGUCUUUUUAUGUUGACAAACAGCAAAUGUCCCAAUACACCCAAAAAGAGUCAUUAAACAACAACUUUUUUUUUUAUUAUUAAGUUCAUGUUUUACAUGAUAAUUAUAUUUUCAUCUUGCAUAUAAAGUACCAACCCUAUUAUUUUCAACACUCUCUGAGUUUUCAUUUUAUUCUCUACUCAUAAUAAUUGUGUUGCAUACCAAUGCAUUUGCUUCAUUUUAUGGGAAUACAAACCAUUGUUUAGAAACCCAAAUACAUUUGGUGUAGGUAGUCUAACUGAAGAGAGUAUUUCUCAC
rnacentral:lncRNA from 1 species